rnacentral:rRNA from 1 species
GUCGCAAGACCAUUAGUGGCGGACGGGUGCGUAACGCGUGGGAACCUGCCUUGAAGUUCGGAAUAACUGCGGGAAACUGCAGCUAAUACCGGAUGUGGCCUGAGGGCCAAAGGGGAAACUCGCUUCAAGAGGGGCCCGCGUCCGAUUAGCUAGUUGGCGGGGUAACGGCCCACCAAGGCGAUGAUCGGUAGCUGGUCUGAGAGGACGACCAGCCACACUGGAACUGAGAUACGGUCCAGACUCCUACGGGAGGCAGCAGUGGGGAAUAUUGGACAAUGGGGGCAACCCUGAUCCAGCAAUGCCGCGUGAGUGAUGAAGGCCUUCGGG